UCAAAACCACAGCAAGGCUGCCCAAAGCGAUGUCUUCAACAGGAGGGAGGUGUUGGUCCAGAAACAGUAAAGCUAAUUUUUGUUGAGGGCUUGUUAAUGAGACAACAUGCUGAGCAUCAUCUUGUAUCAUCUUCACCUUAACCACAGAAGACACUAACAUCACUGUCUCCUUUCUGCAGGUGAGGAGCUCAAAGCAUAAAGAGAGGAAGUCACUUGUUUCAGCUCUCAGGGUCCAGGAGCCUGUCUGACUCCAGAGGGGACUCAUGCCUGGGCUUCCUGUCUCCAGGGAAUCUGGACAGAGCGGUGGAAAUUUCAGGUGGCACUUGGGCCAGGGAGGAUCUCCACGCCUUUCCUCACACCGAGCUGUCUGGCCCUUGGGGAGUUAACUUCACAGAUAGGAAUAUCAUCUUCAGCACCUGUCACCAUAUGGGACAUAGAGGAAGCUCUCCCUCCUGUUUCCAAGAAAAGAAAAAUUAUUGAACUCAGGCUGAGUGUCAACAGGUUGGCAGGUCUUCAAUAA
rnacentral:lncRNA from 1 species